rnacentral:lncRNA from 1 species
AUGCCCCAACUAAAUACUACCGUAUGGCCCACCAUAAUUGCCCCCAUACUUCUUACACUAUUCCUCAUCACUCAGCUAAAAAUAUUAAAUACAAAUUACCAUCUACCCCCCUCACCAAAGCCCAUAAAAAUAAAAAACUAUAGUAAACCCUGAGAACCAAAGUGAACGAAAAUCUGUUCGCUUCAUUCAUUGCCCCCACAAU